GGUUAUGGGUCAGAGGUAGAGUGUUUGCCUAGCACACAUGAGGCACUGGGUUCAAUUCUCAGCACCA
rnacentral:tRNA from 1 species